rnacentral:lncRNA from 1 species
UUAUUCGCUCGAGCGGCUGAAUACAUUGGGGGAGCGUCGGGCUUCAUUGAUGUUUUCAAAUGGACUCUAGGCCAUUUAUAGGCUUCUGUUGAUUGUGGGCCUUUGUUUAUCAAGCUAUAUGUCAGUCCAUUUACUCCUCUGCUAUCCAGUAUUUUUAGUUUAAUAAAAAUAAAUUCCAACUAACCAUAUCCUCACGAAUUGCGGGGCUAAUUUCCUUUCUUAAUUAUGAGCGAAUGUAUUUGAUUCUAUUUUGAAAUAUAAGUGGAGUAAACAUCUUUUUAAUUAUAAGUGAUGGCAAUACUUUUUUCUUUCGAAAUGUGAGUGGAGUAAACGUCUCCCCAAUUACGAGUGAAGGCAAUACUUAUUCCUUUCGAUAUGUGAAAUUCGAAAUGUGAGUGAAGUAAACGUCUCUCGAAUAUUAGAGAAAGUAAAAUUUGGGCAGUGUUAUAUAAGAUUUAAUAAAAAAAUUAUAAUUUUAAAUAAAUGUUGGGAUAACAAAAUUUCUUUAAUGCUGUACUUAUAAAACACCAUAUAAGGAAGUAGAAUUUAUGAUAAUUUAAGAAUGGCUUUUUAAUCCAUAAAAUAGAUUUCUAAAUGAUAGACUAU